UACGGAGGGUGCGAGCGUUGUCCGGAAUCACUGGGCGUAAGGGGCGCGUAGGCGGCCUGAUAAGUAGGGGGUGAAAUCCUGCGGCUUAACCGCAGGGCUGCCUUCUAAACUGUCAGGCUAGAGCACAGUAGAGGCAGGUGGAAUUCCCGGUGUAGCGGUGGAAUGCGUAGAGAUCGGGAAGAACAUCAGUGGCGAAGGCGGCCUGCUGGGCUGUUGCUGACGCUGAGGCGCGACAGCGUGGGGAGCAAACAGG
rnacentral:rRNA from 1 species